rnacentral:rRNA from 1 species
UACGUAGGUGGCGAGCGUUGUCCGGAUUUACUGGGCGUAAAGGGAGCGUAGGCGGACUUUUAAGUGAGAUGUGAAAUACUCGGGCUCAACUUGAGUGCUGCAUUUCAAACUGGAAGUCUAGAAUGCAGGAGAGGAGAAUGGAAUUCCUAGUGUAGCGGUGAAAUGCGUAGAGAUUAGGAAGAACACCAGUGGCGAAGGCGAUUCUCUGGACUGUAACUGACGCUGAGGCUCGAAAGCGUGGGGGGCAAACAGG